UCUUGGAUAAUUGCCUGCGUUGACUUAGCAAUUGGCUUAAUUACUUUGGCAUUGUCCCAUUCUAUUAUGAUGUCGUUACUGUAGGCCUGUUCAGCUAAUAACUAGAAUAAAAUCAUAACUAGAAAAAGCAGGCGGGGCCUGAUAAGUGAUGGGCCCGUGGCUGACUUGCCUGCGGUGUGGACAUGUGUGUUGGGAGGGUAUGGAAGGAUCUGAUUGGCUCUGGUCCUUGGAGGAGUGCACCCUGGCUCUUAUGUUGUAUGUACUGUAUUUAUUUAUUUAUAUUUGUUUUAUUUAUUUGUAUUUAAUUUUUGGUUGCUUACUAGAUGUAGUUUGUUGUGUAUCUAGUUGCUAUAGUGGCCUUUAGUUGUAAUUUUAAAU
rnacentral:lncRNA from 1 species